rnacentral:rRNA from 1 species
GACUGCGUAUGUGACUCCAGCUAGCAGACUCUACGCUACCAUCUCUACGUAGCCACGCACGUACGUCAGGGACUAGCACUGCUGACUGACGACUCUUCAGUACGCGUCGACUGCAUGCAGCUGUCGCAUGCGUCUCGUAGCUCAGUGCAGCAUGUCGCAGAUGCAUGUCAUCUAGUCGAUGCAGUACGAGAUAGACAGCUACUACUCAGCAGCGCGUAUCGUAGUCAGUGAUCGAUACUGCGUAUGCAGCGCAGCAGUCGGCAGCCGAUCUGCAUCACUGAGCUACUAGGUAGUGCAUGUGACUGCACGCUGAGUGGUCAGACGAGGUAGACUGCACGUGUAGCAGUGCAAUGCGUAGAGAUGUGUAGAUACGAUGCGAUGCAGCUCCUGGAUACACUGACGCUCAUGCACGAAGCGUGCGAGCAACAGAUAGAUACCUGGUAGUGCACGCCCUGAACGAUGUCACUAGUGUGGGAUUCAUUCCUUAGUAACGUAGCUAACGCGUGAAGUUGACCGCCUGGGAGUACAGUCGCAGAUUAAAACUCAAACGAAUUGACGCGACCCGCACAAGCGUGGAUGAUGUGGAUUAAUUCGAUGCAACGCGAAAAACCUUACCUACCCUUGACAUGCCACUAACGAAGCAGAGAUGCAUUAGGUGCUCGAAAGAGAAAGUGGACACAGGUGCUGCAUGGCUGUCGUCAGCUCGUGUCGUGAGAUGUUGGGUUAAGUCCCGCAACGAGCGCAACCCUUGUCUCUAGUUGCUACGAAAGGGCACUCUAGAGAGACUGCCGGUGACAAACCGGAGGAAGGUGGGGAUGACGUCAAGUCCUCAUGGCCCUUAUGGGUAGGGCUUCACACGUCAUACAAUGGUGCAUACAGAGGGUUGCCAAGCCGCGAGGUGGAGCUAAUCCCAGAAAAUGCAUCGUAGUCCGGAUCGUAGUCUGCAACUCGACUACGUGAAGCUGGAAUCGCUAGUAAUCGCGGAUCAGCAUGCGCGGAUCCCU